ensembl:misc_RNA Metazoa_SRP Metazoan signal recognition particle RNA
GCCAGGUGUGGUGGCACGCACCUGUAAUCCCAGCUUCUUUGGAGGCUGAGGCAGGAGAAUUGCUUGAACCCAGGGGACACAGGUUGCAGUGAGCCUAGAUCACGCCACUGCACUCCAGCCUGGGUGACAGAGCAAGACUCCGUCUCUA